UACAGUUCAGGUGUUUGAUGUUACAGUUUUUUACGUUCGCUAUGAAAUUUUUUCAAUACUUUUAACAAUUUUCCUAAACUCUUAACACAGUUAGCACAACAUCCAUCUGUGUAGGCUAUACAAUUAACAUAUUUCUUGUUGCUUUGACACAAAAUGCAUACAGUUAACACAUUUAAAAUGCUUGAACUUCUUUUACACACAUGCUCAACUAAGACCAAAUCAAUGGAUUUUUACUGCCAAAUUUACAAAUGCUUUCACACUGUAUGUCAGAACAGAUAACAUCAUGUUCUAAACAUAAGUUAUAGGCUAAAGUCAAAGUGAACAGCUGUUCAUAUUGUGAAUUGAAACACAAAUAUAUCCCCUGUUUUGUAUUCCAUUGCUACUGAGAAACAGCUGACUGAAGUUAUGCAAAUAAAUCACAGCUGAUUCCCAUCUAGGAAACACACUCAGGUGUUGAGGUUCUUUCAAUCGCAUGACCAUAUGGUAUACAGUAAAAGAGGACCUCUUUGGGCUGAUCUUGUGUGGAAAAGGAACAACAUAGAGCAACACAAAGAAAGUAAGAAAAAUGCCUGCACGAGGGAGAGGAAGAUGAGCACCAGGACAAGGGAGAGGAAGACAAGUACCAGGACAAGGGAGAGGAAUGCCUGGACGAGGACAAGGUAGAGGGAGAGGAGUUAGAAUGCGUGGUGGCGCUCAAAGAAGGGCCAGAGCUAGGGUAACUGAUGAAAUAAGAGCUACUAUCAUAGACCAUGUCAUAAACCACAGGCUAUCGUACAGAGAGGCUGGUGAACGAGUACAGCCAAAUCUCAGCCGGGACACAGUGGCAUCCAUUGUCCAGAUUUUUCGAGAAACCAACAGAUUCAAAGUCUACCUCCCUCAGGGGGCAGAGGAAAGCUCCUAAAUGGAGAACAGGAACUUGUUAUUGUCAACAUGGUGAUUGCUGACAAUGAAAUAAAACUGAAGGACAUUCAGUCCAGAGUUGUAGAGGACAACCUCAUCUUUGGGAACAUUGCAGCAAUCAGCAUAACAUCCAUUUCUCAGACUCUAGCUAAACACAGAGUCCGAAUGAAACAACUAUACAAAGUUCCUUUUGAAAGAAACGGUGAGUGCAUCAAAGAACUCCGUCGCCAAUACGUCCAGAGAGUCAUGGAUUUGGAGGCCAAUCAAGUCCCACAUGAAAUGAUCUAGGUUGACGAGGCUGGCUUCAAUUUGGCGAAAAGGCGUCGGCGCAGAAGAAACAUAAUUGGCAAAAGGACCACAGUUACCGUGCCGGGCCAGAGAGGAGCCAACAUCACCAUGUGCGCCGCAAUCUCCAACAACGGUGCACUCCUGCAUAAAUGUGAGAUUGGCCCCUACAACACCGACCGCCUUCUCCUGUUUUUAGAAGACCUGCAUGAAAGACUGGUGCCAGAGAUAGAAAGGGGACAGGUGGGAGACCACUUGCCAAUAUAUGUGAUCACAUGGGACAGUGUGGCAUUCCACCAUUCCCGUGCAGUCACAGCUUGGUUUGACGCCCAUCUGAGGAUGAUGUCCCUUUUCCUUGCCCCUUACUCCCCUUUCCUCAACCCCACUGAGGAUUUUUUCUCAGCCUGGAGAUGGAAGGUUUUUGACCAUCUUCCACAGGAACAAAUGUCCCUCCUGGAUGCAAUGGAUGCUGCAUGCCAAGACAUCACAGCUGAACACUGCCAGGGGUGGAUAAGGCAUGCCAAAAGAUUUUUCCCAAGAUGCCUUGCCAGAGAAGAUAUCAGGUGUGAUGUGGAUGAGAACAUGUGGCCAAAUACAGAAGACCGGGCAGAUUAGAUUCCUUUUUUUCUUUUUUUUUAUUCUUCUGUGGCUUUUUCUGUUUGUAUAUUUUGUAUUUUCACAUAAUAAAUGGCAGCUUUAUUGCAAAUUUUUGUUAUCUUGCAGUAAUGUCCUGUUGCAAAUAAAGCCUUUACUGCAGCAAUUGUCUUCUUUUUUUCAUAAACGAUACAUUCUAUAAAGCUACUCUGAGAUGGGUCAUUCAUUUUUGUAUUGAAUUUCUGCAGCAAAAGAAACAAAAUGCAUGCAUUUACUAUAUACAACAAAACAAAAAUGUAGAGAGGCUUCAAAAGAAACUGCAGGUGCAAAACACAAUCUAUGAUCAAUACAAUAUACUGUCUAUUGUAUAAGGGCAGACCUGACACAUAAAAUAAUACAGUUUCUGUAAUUCCAUCUGAUGUUAGUGUUUUUAUGACAUUGUGCUAUGAUUGACUAAAUGUUCCUGUUGGAAGAGAACAUGUGUUAGUGUUUUGGAAUAAUUAUUUGAUUUUGAGACAUGUUUGCAGUGUUUUGGUAGACAUAGUGUAUUGUGUUAGUGUAUUAUUGUAUUUUGAAAAUUAGUGUUGGAGUUUAGUUUACAAUGUGUGAGUUUGAGCAUGAAAUUAACCGUUUUGCCAAUUGUGUGUUGUAGGUGUGUUGGUGCAUUAAGAGUUUAGGAAAAUUGUUAAAAGUAUUGAAAAAAUUGUCAUAGCGUUCGUAAAAAACUGUAUAUGAAUAUGAAUAUAAUAUUAAUUUAGAUAUAAAUAUCAUAUUCUGGCACAGAAUGGAAUUUUCAGAAUUUUGGGCUCAGGCUUUAAAGGGUUAAGCCUAUCACUCAUGCAUUUAACUGCACAAGGAAUGGGUCAACAGGGUUUAGUCCCUAUGAACUGAUGUUCAGUAGGCAACCUAGGUUACCAUUAGAUAUUGCUUUAAAUUUGCCUGUUCGGGAGAAUGAAUCUCAUUCUCACUCGCAGUAUGUGAGAAAUCUGAAAUCUAGGCUGAAAGAGAGUUACAAAACUGCCAUUGAGAAUGCCCAGAAGGUAGCUAAAAGGAACAAAGUGCGCUAUGAUAAACAUGACAGAGAGUCCACUCUUGAAAUGGGAUCGUGUUUUAAAUCUUCGGUUGCACAGUAAGAAUAAGUUGGCAAAUAUAUGGAAGUUUACUGUGUAUACAGUAGUGAAGAGAAUGGGAAAUCUACCCAUUUAUGUAGUCCAUCCUGUUGGUGAGCAGGGUUCAACUGGAACCCUUCACAGGGAUUUGUUGCUUCCCUGUGGUUAUCUCUCUGAAGAGGAAGUAGAUGUUCCUAAGUCAAAGUCUGUGCAUAGGCCUAGGACCAGACAAACCCCUUUUCCAGUAGAAGAGGAAGAAAAUAUUUCCUCAGAUGAUGAGUAUACUCUUCUUCCUGUAAGUCCUUCAGUUUCCAAUGAGAAAAGGUUUACAAAGACCUAUGACAUCCCAAAAAACAAAGGCACACUUUUUACUCUUCCUGUUGUGAAUCAGUCCAAUCCUCAGGAAGAGCUUUCUGCUCUUGAUUCCUUAAGGUUGUUGAGUGUAGGAGAUGACAAUUUUUAAUGAAAGUGUUGAAAUUAGGAAUAGGAAGUCUGUUGACCCGGUUGAACAGUCUUCUAGUGAAGAGAAUGACUUGUCAUUUUGUGCAGAGAAAGCAAAUCAUUCUUUAGACAAUUAUGAUGUGCCAAUGCUGGAUUUAGGAGAUCCAGGUAAUGAAUGUAAAUGAGUCACAAGUAAAUUAAAGUGUAAAAGACCAUGUCCAUGAUGAUGUUGUCAGAAGGUCUACAAGGUCACGAAGACCACCUGCUCAUUUUCAUUAUCCUGAGUUGGGAAAACAUUUGUCCAUACUGUGCUGGAGAGUUUCAACAACACUCUUGGUUUGUUGGGCGGUUAUGAUAAACCCAAGAUUUGGCAUAUUUAGUUAAUGUAUUUGGUUCGUUAGUCAAAGCAUGAAGGAAUUCAAGCUGAUUUAAAGAGGGAGGGUGUAACCCAUAUAAAAAAAAAAAUUAAAAUAUUUAAUCAGUUUGUGUUAUUUCAUAUUUGACCAAUUGGGGGCGCUUCUGUGUGGUGCAUUUGCGUGGAAGCUUUUUUUUUUACUGUUGAUCCUGAGAGAGAGAACACUGUGGUGGAGAAUGAGUUAAAAAAAAAAUCUAAGUAAAAGUGCCAUCCAUGUAACUUAUGCUAAGAUCUACCUUGGUUAAUGUAUUGUUUGGAUGUUUCAUGUACCAUUUCCAGCGGAGAAGCAUAUUUAAAGGAGUUUUGUUGUGAGCUCCGAUUGGUUUUUUAUAUGAGUGUGAAACCAUUUUGGGGAAUGAGAUGACGAGCCUGUCCACCACAAACUCCACACCCAAGAUGGCGUCUUGAAGAAGUGAGGCCGACUGCUUCAAGAGUCACAACAUCAUUUGAACAACGUAAUUUGUGUUUCAAGCAAGGUAAUACAGAUAAGCCUGUUUGGAACUCACUUUUAUUUUCCUUUAUUUUCGUAACAGGAUAAAAAAGGAAACGUUACUAAAGAACAUUUCAAAGACUUUCCUAUUGAAAGGACAUUGUUAUAUUUUUCGAUUUCAGUCAAGGAAAAUUGGAGGGGAAAACAUUAAUUUUUGUUUAUUUAUUUAAUUUUAAGUCAAUGCCCAAACAAAGAAUUGUUUAUGAUAAUUAUUGUGACAUAUUUCUAGUUCAUGCAGAGGCAAAUGUUCUGUUGUGAAAUAAAUGUCAAAGGUUCCGUACUAUACUACUUCUCUUGUAUGGUCUGCUCUCCUGCCCCACGAACUUAGAGAAAUUGAUGUAUAGCAGCUUAUUCUACAUCAGAGGAUAGGCACUACAUUGUGUAUUAUUUGAGCUGUUAAGUUGUUUAACUCAUUGUUUUUUUGCAGCUGACUAAAUCUAAAUUUUGACAGACUGAGUAAAUCUGUAUGAGUUUUUGCUAUACUGCACAAAUACUGUCCAGAAUAAAUGUUUUUUUUUUUUCACAUGAGAUGCCCUUAUCUGUCUAUCAACAAAGUAAAUAUCAAAAAC